UACGUGGGGUGCGAGCGUUGCCCGGAUUUAUUGGGCGUAAAGGGCGCGUAGGCGGCCACGCACGUCCGUUGUGAAAUCGCCCGGCUCAACUGGGCGGGGUCAGCGGAUACGGUGUGGCUCGAGCAAGCUAGGGGGCAAUGGAAUUCCCGGUGUAGUGGUGGAAUGCGUAGAUAUCGGGAGGAACACCGGUGGCGAAGGCGGCGACCUGGGUAGAUACUGACGCUGAGGUGCGAAAGCGUGGGGAGCAAACAGG
rnacentral:rRNA from 1 species